rnacentral:rRNA from 1 species
AACGAACGCUGGCGGCAGGCUUAACACAUGCAAGUCGAACGCCCUGGUAACAGGGAGUGGCAGACGGGUGAGUAACGCGUGGGAACGUACCCUUUACUACGGAAUAACUCAGGGAAACUUGUGCUAAUACCGUAUGUGCCCUUCGGGGGAAAGAUUUAUCGGUAAAGGAUCGGCCCGCGUUGGAUUAGCUAGUUGGUGGGGUAAAGGCCUACAAAGGCGACGAUCCAUAGCUGGUCUGAGAGGAUGAUCAGCCACAUUGGGACUGAGACACGGCCCAAACUCCUACGGGAGGCAGCAGUGGGGAAUAUUGGACAAUGGGCGCAAGCCUGAUCCAGCCAUGCCGCGUGAGUGAUGAAGGCCCUAGGGUUGUAAAGCUCUUUCACCGGUGAAGAUAAUGACGGUAACCGGAGAAGAAGCCCCGGCUAACUUCGUGCCAGCCGCCGCGGUAAAAC